GAUGGACCUGGUGUAGCCCACUCUGCCCCCCGCAUUUCACUACCGCAGCUCCCAUGGCGCAGUGGGGGGACGGCCCUCACUGCAAAUGGUGGGUUCCCCACUGCUCCGCAGAGAAAGGCCUUGACCAGGGAGAGGGAGGUGGCCAUGUGGGAGAUAAAGCUCUCUGGCUGCUGGAAAGGAAGGGCAACCAGCUCAAGAUUCUCUCCCUCACGGACGAGGGGUUACGAGAUUGGCGUCGGUUUGUCUCACAGUCGCCGCCGCCAUCCUGGAC
rnacentral:lncRNA from 1 species